CAGGAUUCCAGUCUUGGCUGAACUUAACAUUGGACGUGUUACGUGUUUUGGGGGAAAGCACUGUGACAGCCAGCAGAAUGGAGUCAAUGACUUCAGACAAUAAGACUAUCAUGUUCCUGGAGGUGGCAGGAGGAACUGGACAUUCCUGCUUGCAAUCAACAGGAGCCUCAACUUAAAUAUCUAGUUUGUUGGAUGCUUGAGUUAGGAGGGGUGUAUUUGCUUUCCCAUGCAAGGCAUGGUGGUGUGAAUUUUGUUUAUUUAUUGAAUUAUAUUCUGGUUAUAGUAUGCCAUUU